AACCAUAACCAGUCCCGUACUCGCCCCGGUCGAGAAUAGGGACAACAUGGAAACCGUUGCGAACGAGAACGGACCACUGGCGCCAAGAGCCAUCCAUCUCCCGAUAAAAGGAUGGGGCGCUUUUCUCCUCAAGAGGAGAAGGAAAGGGGUACUUCUCCUCCGUCUCAGGAGGGUAACUUAAAGGGGAGUCCUCUAAAGUAUGAACGUUCUGACUACAGACUUCGGGAGGAAGUUGAGCAGAACCGUCUGUAGCCACGGAUGGCUCCUCCACAAUAGGAACCUCCUCCAGAAUAGUAGCCAAAAUGGUUGUGGGAGGAGGAGUCCUAGCAGUAGAAGGAGGGGUGCCUCCAAUUUCUACAUCCCGCUCAGGAGAAGAGGAGCUGCAGGAGGAAGAACUCGAGCUCCCCGAACUGGAUGUAGAAGACCCCGAACUAGAACCUGCGGGGGAAGAAUGGGAAGAACCUAAAAAUAAAAAACAAAUAAAAGGUAAGUUACGAAAGAAAAAAUAAUAAUAACUUACUAGGUACAGGCUUGCGCGUACGACGAGAAAGAGUUUUUCGCUUACUUCCAACAGGAGAGGAGGAAGGCGAAUCAACUCUAGGCUCGACCACGGCAGGAGUAGUCUGAACAACGGCAG
rnacentral:lncRNA from 1 species